rnacentral:rRNA from 1 species
UGAACGCUGGCGGCGUGCCUAACACAUGCAAGUCGAACGAGAACGGGUUAUAGCUUGCUAUAACUGUCAGCUAAGUGGCGCACGGGUGAGUAAUAUAUAGUUAACCUGCCCCAAAGAAGAGAAUAAUUGUUGGAAACGACUUGUAAUGCUCUAUAUGCCUUUAUCACAUAAGUGAGCAAGGGAAACAUUUAUGGCUUUGGGAUGGGACUGUACGGUAUCAGUUAGUUGGUGAGGUAAUGGCUCACCAAGACUAUGACGCCUAACUGGUUUGAGAGGAUGAUCAGUCACACUGGAACUGAGACACGGUCCAGACUCCUACGGGAGGCAGCAGUGGGGAAUAUUGCACAAUGGAGGAAACUCUGAUGCAGCAACGCCGCGUGGAGGAUGACACAUUUCGGUGCGUAAACUCCUUUUAUAUGAGAAGAUAAUGACGGUAUCAUAUGAAUAAGCACCGGCUAACUCC